rnacentral:rRNA from 1 species
AUGAACAUUGCCCUUCUCUCCCGUUGGCUCUGGCGCAUCGCCCAGGGUCAAGGUGGCCUCUGGCUCGACAUUAUCUGGAAUAAAUACCUGCGGGGUCAGCCGCUAGCCUUCUGCCAGGAAUCGGGCGGCUCUUAGUUCUGGCAGUCUAUUGUCCAUCUUCUCCCGGUGCUCCGCACUGGGACCUCCAUCUCGGUGGGAUCCGGCCUCUCGACGCUUUUCUGGUUUGAUCGUUGGGCUGGAGACGCUCCCUUUGCGGCCCGCUUCCCCGCCCUCUUCUCUAUCUCCGUCGACCCCACGAUUUCGGUCAAUAGGCCCCUUCUUGACUUAGGUCGCCUUGCUUUCUGCCGGCCUUUUGGGCCGGCGGAAUCCGCCGCCUGGCGUGAGUUGCUUGAUUGUGUUGCGUUGCAUGAGCCAUUGGUGGAUGGCAGAUCGGACCUUGUGCGGUGGCGUCUGGAUCCAUGGGGCUUGUUCUCCACCAAGUCAUUGUACCCGACCAUUGCCCCAUCCUCCGCUCCCCUCCCCCUAUCGAUGGUGUGGUCCGUCCGCGUUCCCCUGAAGAUCCGCAUAUUCAUGUGGCAGUGGAUUCGCGGCCGGGUCCCGUCUGGAGUGGAGGUCUGCAAGCGCAAUGGCUCGGGCACCGGUAUCUGCCCGCUCUGUGGAGUCCCUGAAGACUCGAACCACAUCUUCUUCUCCUGCGUCUCCGCCUAG